CCCUUAGAUGUUCUGGGCUGCACGCGCGCUACACUGAUGCGCUCAACGAGUUUUAACCUUGCCUGGAAAGGUUGGGUAAUCUUUUUAAAACGCAUCGUGAUGGGGAUAGAUUAUUGCAAUUAUUAAUCUUCAACGAGGAAUUCCUAGUAAGCGCGAGUCAUCAGCUCGUGCUGAUUACGUCCCUGCCCUUUGUACACACCGCCCGUCACUCCUACCGACUGAGUGAUCCGGUGAAUAAUUCGGACUGCGGCAUUGACCGGUUCCCGAUCGUUGCUGCGGAAAGUUUAGUGAACCUUAUCACUUAGAGGAAGGAGAAGUCGUAACA
rnacentral:rRNA from 1 species